rnacentral:lncRNA from 12 species
AAUCGCAAAGGUUUACCAUCUGGCUUGCAUUAUUCCUUAGUAUUUAACAAUUGGCUCUCACAGGCUGGUAGGAACCAACUUCAUAACAUCCCUGUGGAGGUGCUCCAGUCCACGAGUAAAAUUGCUCUCAAACUGUAUUGAGCGUAAUUUAAUUUCACCUUGAUAAUCCUGGAGUGUACUUCAUGGUAUUGUAGUUCCUGAGAGUCAACAUGGCAAACGUUAAUUACUCUUGCAGUGUGUAUGUGCAGAGUUUCUAAUCAACAGCGUUGUGGAAGAUAGCUUACAACACUGAAAGGCUGAGAAGGAAAAGACGAACAGAAUGUCUUGUAGGUUGUCAGUGGUAUAGUUUUACUCCUUAAGGAGCUCUGGAACGAAUCCAGAGCUAUCACCUACCUUCCUUAGGUAAAUUUAUAAUGGUAUAAAUAGUAAUCACAGUGACAGAAAUCAUAAUCAUUUCCUUCCAGUGGAAUAAGGCUUUACAAUUUUCAAAGUGAAUUGGACUUUCACCUUGAGGAAAAUAGAACAGAGGCUUUAUCUCCAGAAACAAAUGGAGUGUAUAAAAUUCGGUCAUUCUCUUCUGCCUGUACUACUGACUUCUGAAUAGCAUUCCAGUUGUAUGUAUCUGGGGCUUGGGAAAUUUUCCUAGUUCUUGGGAAGGAAGUUAACUAAAACAUAUGACAUCUCUGGCAAGAGUCACAAUUUCACACAAAAACUUUCUUGCAAUAACUUCACAUAUUGCUUCCCCUGGUGGAAUUGCUGUCUCUAGGGAAAGCUUGGGUCGAAAAUGACAACUCUGUUUAAUGAAAGUGAGAGCUGAAUGCUAAAUCCAGGAGGUUUUAUUUCUCACAAAGAAGUCUUCAUCUUAAAGUCACUUGUUAUAGAUGACGUUGUGACAGAGCUCCUGAAAGGAAGAACUUACCAAAAGGUACAAUCCCAACUUGGGCAGCUAACUGUGCCCAACAUGGCAAUUCAGUGAAAGGCCAGCCUCCAGGUUGCAUGGAGGCCUUUGCAUUGAAGCAGCCAGAGAAAG